UUUAAACUUUAAAAAAGGAUUAUAAAAAUGAAAAUUCAAAAGCACUCAAUUUUAACUUGGCUUCUAAAGCUCUUAAUUUUAAUUUUAUUUUAGAAGUAGUUUUUAAAUCAUUAGAAAGUCGGUCAAACGGAAACGUGUGCUCUGAAGAAACAAUAAUACAUCAAUCUACGUAAAAAUAAAAUAAAUAUUUGUUAUUAAAAAAUGUUUUUUUAUAACACCCUAAGAGCUCAAAGUUAUUUAAUUCAUGUAAGGAGAACAUGGCUUUAUAAAUUAUAAAAUGGUAAAAUUAUAUUCUACUUAAUUCAUCAAAAAGGAAACAAAAAAUAUGGCUGAAAUUGUCAAAUUCAUUUACAUUAUGAGUAUCUUAUUUUUCCUAUUUUUUGUUGUAGUAAACAUUGAUGGUAAACCAAUAUUAUUUAUUUUUUAAAUUUUCCUAUUUUUUUGCUCCUUACACAAUAUUAUAUGAUUGUCCUUUUUUUAAUAACAUUCUUUUAUUUAUUUUUUUCAUUACAGCUGCAGCUGAAUGUUUUACUCAUUAUGAUUGUCCAUUAAAUUAUUGCCCGUCAACUUUUAUAGCAAGGUGUGUUAAGAGCCAGUGUAUAUGUAGUAAAAAGAAAAAGAUAAAUUUCUUAUGAUUGGUAAGUUUUUUUAUAUGUCCUUUUACCAAGUGUAACAAAGAGAUAUACAUAUUUAAGAGAUAUUUAAUAUUGAUUCGUAUUUUAGGAAAUUAUUUUUCACAAUAUUUAUCUUUUCCUUUAUUCUCUUUUUACUAUAUAGCAGGUGUUAGACAUAAUUUCAAGAUUUUGAUUAUGUGUCUCUCUCCUUUUACACCGAGGUGUAUGUAGAACAGGAUGGUUUGUGUUAGAAUAAUGUUUUGUAUUAUAUACAAAAACUCCGUAAAAUAUUUCACAAAAUCGUGUUAGUCAUUUACAAUGUGUCUAUGACGUUUCUAACUUAACUUUGUUUACCUUGUGGUAUUGAGUAAUAAUUAGUGUGUUUAAUAUUUUUUCUUUCAUUUAAAAAUAUAAUUUAGGGAUAGACAUGCUAGUAGUCUCUAUUAAUAUAUCAACAUUAAUUUGUCUCCAAUCAUAUCAACUAUUUAUCUACUAAAAUAACAUGCAUACAAACUACUAAUAAUAUCCUUUAUUUUAAAUUUUUUUAUGUAAUAAUCUAAUUUUCUAAUUAAUUCACCUUAUUUCAACCAAAUGCUACCGAGUAUCAAAUUUCUAUUGAUACUACUUUUUCCUCCAUUUCUCACUCUUUCAUUCAUAAUCUCAUUCUUCUUUCUCUUUUCAUUUUUUUAUUUUAUCUUUUCACCCUAAUUAUUUUAUCUUCUCCUAAUUAUUUUUAAUAAAUUAAAAUGUUUAACUAUAAUAUAUGAUUAUCAUAUUAAAUAUUUACUGGUGUAUGAAUGUAUAUAAUAUUGACAUUUAAUUUUAUUUUUAAUAUAAAUUUAAUUAAUUGUAUUUAUUUUUAAAUUUUAAUAAAAUUUUCAACUUUCACUUUUUCCUCCAUUUCUCACUCUUUCACUCAUAAUCUCAUUCUUCUUUCUCUUUUCAUUUUAUUAUUUUAUCUUUUCUCUCUAAUCAUUUUAUCUUCUCUUAAUUAUUUUUAAUAUAUUAAAAUGUUUAACUAUAAUAUAUGAUUAUCAUAUUAAAUACUUAUUAGUGUAUGAAUGUAUAUGAUGUUGACAUUUAGUUUUGUUUUUAGGAUAAUGUUAACUUGUGUCCUAGAGGCACAAGUUAACAAAUAAAUAAAGAAACAUUGUCUUAAAAA
rnacentral:lncRNA from 1 species